rnacentral:rRNA from 1 species
AUUGAACGCUGGCGGCAUGCCUUACACAUGCAAGUCGAACGGCAGCAUGGAGAGCUUGCUCUCUGAUGGCGAGUGGCGAACGGGUGAGUAAUGCAUCGGAACGUACCGUGUAAUGGGGGAUAACGUAGCGAAAGUUACGCUAAUACCGCAUACGACCUGAGGGUGAAAGCAGGGGAUCGCAAGACCUUGCGUUAUACGAGCGGCCGAUGUCAGAUUAGCUAGUUGGUGAGGUAAAGGCUCACCAAGGCGACGAUCUGUAGCGGGUCUGAGAGGAUGAUCCGGCCCACUGGGCAUGAGAAACGGCCCAGACUCCUACGGGAGGCAGCAGUGGGGAAUUUUGGACAAUGGGGGCAACCCUGAUCCAGACAGGCCGCGUGAGUGAAGAAGGCCUUCGGGUUGUAAAGCUCUUUCGGCCGGGAAGAAAUCGCACAGGCUAAUACUCUGUGUGGAUGACGGUACCGGCAUAAGAAGCACCGGCUAACUACGUGCCAGCCGCCGCCGUAA